CCUACGGGUGGCAGCAGUGGGGAAUAUUGGACAAUGGGGGCAACCCUGAUCCAGCCAUGCCGCGUGUGUGAAGAAGGCCCUCGGGUUGUAAAGCACUUUCAGUGAGGAAGAACGCCUGGUGGUUAAUACCCAUCAGGAAAGACAUCACUCACAGAAGAAGCACCGGCUAACUCCGUGCCAGCAGCCGCGGUAAUACGGAGGGUGCGAGCGUUAAUCGGAAUUACUGGGCGUAAAGCGCGCGUAGGUGGCUUGAUAAGCCGGUUGUGAAAGCCCCGGGCUCAACCUGGGAACGGCAUCCUGAACUGUCAAGCUAGAGUGCAGGAGAGGAAGGUAGAAUUCCCGGUGUAGCGGUGAAAUGCGUAGAGAUCGGGAGGAAUACCAGUGGCGAAGGCGGCCUUCUGGACUGACACUGACACUGAGGUGCGAAAGCGUGGGUAGCAAACAGGAUUAGAUACCCUAGUAGUC
rnacentral:rRNA from 1 species